rnacentral:rRNA from 1 species
CCUACGGGUGGCUGCAGUGAGGAAUAUUGGUCAAUGGGCGCUAGCCUGAACCAGCCAAGCAGCGUGAAGGAUGAAUGUCCUAAGGGUUGUAAACUUCUUUUAUAUGGGAAUAAAGUGCAGUAUGUAUGCUGCUUUGCAUGUACCUUAUGAAUAAGGAUCGGCUAACUCCGUGCCAGCAGCCGCGGUAAUACGGAGGAUGCGAGCGUUAUCCGGAUUUAUUGGGUUUAAAGGGUGCGCAGGCGGAAGAUCAAGUCAGCGGUAAAAGUGAGAGGCUCAACCUCUGCGAGCCGUUGAAACUGGUUGUCUUGAGUGAGUGAGAAGUAUGCGGAAUGCGUGGUGUAGCGGUGAAAUGCAUAGAUAUCACGCAGAACUCCGAUUGCGAAGGCAGCAUACCGGCGCCCAACUGACGCUCAUGCACGAAAGUGUGGGUAUCGAACAGGAUUAGAUACCCUGGUAGUC